rnacentral:miRNA from 1 species
UCGGGGCAUGGGGGAGGGAGGCUGG